UGGGGGCUGACGGAGAGAGCCCAAGGCCCCAUCAGCAGAGUCAGAACUCUGGUUAGGAAAUAAAUCACCACAGUGAUCCCAAUGCAUUGCACUCCACUAC